rnacentral:rRNA from 1 species
UACGGAGGGUGCAAGCGUUAUCCGGAAUUACUGGGCGUAAAGGGCUCGUAGGCGGCCAACUAAGUCAGACGUGAAAUCCCUCGGCUUAACCGGGGAACUGCGUCUGAUACUGGAUGGCUUGAGUUUGGGAGAGGGAUGCGGAAUUCCAGGUGUAGCGGUGAAAUGCGUAGAUAUCUGGAGGAACACCGGUGGCGGAGGCGGCAUCCUGGACCAACACUGACGCUGAGGAGCGAAAGCCAGGGGAGCAAACGGG